GGGGGUAUAGCUCAGCUGGGAGAGCAUCUGGUUUGCAACCAGAAGGUCAGCGGUUCGAUCCCGCUUACCUCCACCA
rnacentral:tRNA from 1 species